rnacentral:rRNA from 1 species
UGACCUACGGGACGCAGCAGUAGGGAAUCUUCGGCAAUGGACGAAAGUCUGACCGAGCAACGCCGCGUGAGUGAAGAAGGUUUUCGGAUCGUAAAACUCUGUUGGUAGAGAAGAACGUUGGUGAGAGUAGAAAGCUCAUCAAGUGACGGUGACUACCCAGAAAGGGACGGCUAACUACGUGCCAGCAGCCGCGGUAAUACGUAGGUCCCGAGCGUUAUCCGGAUUUAUUGGGCGUAAAGCGAGCGCAGGUGGUUUAUUAAUGCUGGUGUAAAAGGCAGUGGCGCAACCAUUGUAUGCAUUGGAAA